AACGAACGCUGGCGGCAUGCCUAACACAUGCAAGUCGAACGAGACCUUCGGGUCUAGUGGCGCACGGGUGCGUAACGCGUGGGGAUCUGCCCUUUGCUUCGGAAUAACAGUUAGAAAUGACUGCUAAUACCGGAUGAUGACUUCGGUCCAAAGAUUUAUCGGCAAAGGAUGAACCCGCGUAGGAUUAGCUGGUUGGUGGGGUAAAGGCCUACCAAGGCGACGAUCCUUAGCUGGUCUGAGAGGAUGAUCAGCCACACUGGGACUGAGACACGGCCCAGACUCCUACGGGAGGCAGCAGUGGGGAAUAUUGGACAAUGGGCGAAAGCCUGAUCCAGCAAUGCCGCGUGAGUGAUGAAGGCCUAGGGUUGUAAAGCUCUUUUACCCGGGAUGAUAAUGACAGUACCGGGAGAAUAAGCUCCGGCUAACUCCGUGCCAGCAGCCGCGGUAAU
rnacentral:rRNA from 1 species